GAUGAACGCUAGCGGCAGGCCUAAUACAUGCAAGUCGAACGAUCGUUUUUAGUUUACUAAUAACGGAGUGGCGCACGGGUGCGUAACACGUAUGCAACCUACCUUUAUCAGGGGGAUAGCCUUUCGAAAGGAAGAUUAAUACCCCAUAAUAUUAUCGAAUGACAUCAUUUGAUAAUCAAAGUUCAGGCGGAUAAAGAUGGGCAUGCGGAACAUUAGCUAGUUGGUGAGGUAACUGCUCACCAAGGCUACGAUGUUUAGGGGGUCUGAGAGGAUGAUCCCCCACACUGGUACUGAGACACGGACCAG
rnacentral:rRNA from 1 species